CCUAAAAGAGUUAAAUAGUCAGUCAUCUUUAAAGGAUACUGCCACAGGAAAAUGCAUUGCCAGUAUUCAGACAAAUUUGACAUUAAAUUGUUAGGAGCAACACCUACAACCACAGCAGACAGACAACACAGAAGAAAUCAACAAAGCAAGUGAGAUGUUCAAAGGAUCCUUGCCUCACAAAGAAUUUAAAGGAAAGUCAAUAAAAGACUGGAAAUACUGACUCACCAGCUCUGUUGCAAGU